rnacentral:rRNA from 1 species
UACGUAGGGUGCAAGCGUUGUCCGGAAUUAUUGGGCGUAAAGAGCUCGUAGGCGGCUUGUCGCGUCGACUGUGAAAUCCCGCGGCUCAACUGCGGGUCUGCAGUCGAUACGGGCUGGCUGGAGGCAGGCAGGGGAGAACGGAAUUCCUGGUGUAGCGGUGAAAUGCGCAGAUAUCAGGAGGAACACCGGUGGCGAAGGCGGUUCUCUGGGCCUGUUCUGACGCUGAGGAGCGAAAGCGUGGGGAGCGAACAGG